CACUCUUUCCUGAUCCAGUCUUGCCCACCAGGACUAUCCUCAACCCUCCAGUCAAAUCCAGAGCUGGAACGGCAGAUGCAGAAUUAAUGUUGAGCACAAGACAAAAUCCUGCAGGUGAGAGGUUGAAGAUUGGAAGAUUGGCUGCCAGCCUGUGAAAAGAGCCGUGGAUUGGCUCACACUCCGGCCAAUCAGAGACGGAGUGACCUUUGAAAAGCCUCUCUCUUGUUUUGCUCUCGCUCUGACUUUGCUUUGUUGGGUAGGAAGGUUUGUGGUGGGGAUUAGGGACUGAGGUAAGACUGGGGUACCCUCUACAUCUACACACGUAGAAAGAAAUUGUUGUCACAUCAGGUCAUGGGUUGUUGCCACUGUUGUACUUUUAUUAUUUUUAGAUGCUUUUUGUAGGCAAGACAGUCAGGCUUUUUUUCCUUUUUUUCUUUUCACACAGAUAGGGUUGAGCUAGGCCCUUUAUGAUUGUACUUUGUUUGUUUUAUUUGGCAAAACCCCACAGGUCCCUCUUCCCCCCACAUUGUUCAAACCUACAUUCGUUGUUUACCUUUUCACUUAAAUAUUGUAAAUAAAUCCCAUUUCUUUGACUCUCA